rnacentral:rRNA from 1 species
GGUGCAUGACGCGCUUGAUCGUCUCUUGCCUUGUGUGUCAACGCCAGUUCGCGAUCGAGGAAAACUCCAGGGUCAUGGUAGCUCGUCUACGGGUGAGUGAAUAGCCUUGGCAGAACUCAUUUGCGGACUGUUUCUUUCGUGUCUGGUUGCAGUGUCCUUGGCAUUCUGGAAGCUCGUCUUGGCUUGCCACUGGCGGGGGACCUGGGUGACUUGGGCAUUUCCCUGACACAAAGACGAUGACUAAAUGGUUCUAUUCGACCCGUCUUGAAACACGGACCAAGGAGUCUAACAUAUGUGCGAGUCCACGGGUGGUAAACCUGCUGGCGCAGUGAAAGCGACUGCUGGGAUCUUUGCACCAGCAACCGACCAAUCAAUUGAGAGAGGUUUGAGUAUGAGCAUAUCUGUUAGGACCCGAAAGAUGGUGAACUAUGCCUGAGAAGGGCAAACUCAGGGGAAA